UGUCUGUGGGUUAAUUCGCUCGUCGAGCCU
rnacentral:sRNA from 1 species